UAUGUUCCGGGGUUCUGGCUGCAUGGUGGGAGUUCCUGUGCACCCUUAUUACCUUUUACCACCAGAUGGCGACAGGUUCCGGCUGGAGUGCGGUGCAUUAUUAUCCGCAGCUGUUCGUGAUCAUCCUCAUCAGCGGCGCAGACUUAAGGAGUUGGCCGCCAGUCCAGCGUCGCCUGAGUGUUAGCCAGUCACGGUGAUCCUUUGAUGAGAUCCCGGUUGAAUUCCUGGCUUUUGAACCAUCCUCGUGACGCCGUGGAAAGUAUCCACAGGUUGCCCGAGUUCCCAGACUUACCUCUCCGUUGUUUUGGCAAUUAUCUCCUGGACCCCACGGCUGGCGGCCGUACCACUCCUCCGUCUCCCCGCUGCUCUCGUGCCUACCUGUCCGCUGCCCACCGCACUCCUCCGUUGUUCCUGGACCCACCAAGAACCGAGACCCCGGACAUACUCGGUUUCCCCUCCAAGACUCUGUUCAUCAGCAACAAUGAACCAUUGUUGCCGUCCCUGUUUUUGCCCCUGGACCAGACCAUCCUGAUUCUCACUGAUAAUUGUGUGAUCUUUAUUAAAUCAUUUAACACUGA